rnacentral:lncRNA from 1 species
GAAGUAGCGGGAGAGAAGCUCUGGGGAUGAUAUGAAAUCGGAGUUGGGGGGUUUGGGGGUUUUCGAACCCUGAGAGGUUUGCAGGAGAGGACACCUGUUCGAGCGUCUUUUGCUCGAAUGUGCUGAUUUGCAGAAUAACAGAGGUAGACAAGAAAAGUAGACAACACAAACUAAAGGUACCAGCCGACGAGAAAUCAGAAUCCCCAAAUGCGUGAUGGAACUGAAACUGGAUCUUUGAGUCCGAAUCUGGAUCCGAAAACCUUUUCCGGGUCAUCGAUGCAGUUGUUGAUGGUGGCGAGAGAGUCCAGGAUGUUGUCACAGAAACUGAUUUGGAGCACCUAGUGAGUUUAAUUGGAGAGAGAGAGUGAGAGCAGCG